UACGGGGGGGGCAAGCGUUGUUCGGAAUUACUGGGCGUAAAGGGCUCGUAGGCGGCCAACUAAGUCAGACGUGAAAUCCCCGGGCUCAACCCGGGAACUGCGUCCGAGACUGGGAGGCUAGAAUCCGGGAGAGGAUGGUGGAAUUCCCAGUGUAGAGGUGAAAUUCGUAGAUAUUGGGAAGAACACCGAUGGCGAAGGCAGCCAUCUGGACCGACACUGACGCUGAGGCGCGAAAGCGUGGGGAGCAAACAGG
rnacentral:rRNA from 1 species